rnacentral:rRNA from 1 species
GUGGGGAAUAUUGGACAAUGGGGGCAACCCUGAUCCAGCGAUGCCGCGUGAGUGAAGAAGGCCUUCGGGUCGUAAAGCUCUUUAGGUUGGGAAGAAGUUUAUUAUCGGACAAUGAUAGUAGAUUGACGGUACCGACAGAAUAAGCACCGGCAAACUCUGUGCCAGCAGCCGCGGUAAUACAGAGGGUGCAAGCGUUAAUCGGAGUUACUGGGCGUAAAGGGCGCGUAGGCGGUGAGAUGUGUGUGAUGUGAAAGCCCCGGGCUUAACCUGGGAAGUGCAUCGCAAACUAUCUGACUGGAGUAGAUGAGAGGGUGGCGGAAUUUCCGGUGUAGCGGUGAAAUGCGUAGAGAUCGGAAGGAACGUCAAUGGCGAAGGCAGCCACCUGGCAUCAUACUGACGCUGAGGCGCGAAAGCGUGGGGAGCGAACAGGAUUAGAUACCCGGGUAGUCC